GAGCGGGGAGCAAGGCCUGCGGGGAGGCGCAGGAUGGACGCGUUGGCUGUCAUGAUGUAGGACCUCCUGACCUAGAACCAUGCCCGGCGCAGGGAGAACAACGAGCUUACGGACCGGGUGCGGGGGCUGCUGUGCGAGAAAGCCUACCUGCUGGCCCGGGAGCGUUCGCCGGCCCACCUGGUGGCUUUCCCUGGACGUUUAACGGCGACUCCGCCCGGCCUCCCGACUUUUUGAUGCAGGCGUUCUCUUACAUGACUUUCUUCGAGGCUAGAUUCUCGAAAGACAUCCUGAAGGUGGCUUUCUUAAUUAGCUGCCUCACCGGCUGGCGGAGCAGUUCGUAGUCGCCUACAUCGAGAGGGAGAGCCCCGUCCUGGCUCAGUACUGGGGCUUCGUGGACGCGCUGUAGCGGGUCUUCGCCGUCGUGGGUAGGAAACAGUCGGGCCGGAUCCCCGGUGUCUGGGGAGCGGCUGCCGGCCGGGCCCGCGCGAGCCGCUUCACUCCUACAAGCCCGGCUCACUAGUUCCAAGCUGCUGGACUUUGACCCUCGCUGGGAAGCUUGAUCGCCGCCUGUUCUCGCCAAUCUCUAUGCCUUUGCACUGCCCAGCAACCCGGUCACUGCCCAGGACCUGUUAAAAGUUGAAUGGACCUCCCAGAAUCACGCCGCUGCCACCGCCGUUUCUAGAGACGGCUUUUGGCCACCUUUGAGAAUCAGGGUCAAACUUGGAAGGGCCUGCAUUUGUCACACUUCCUCGGACACUAAUUUGGAUAGUUCAGGCCCAGAGACGGCUUCCCGGGUUAGUGUGCCUGACAACACUGAAGAAAAAUUGUGACAUUUUCCUUCCCCAGAAUUACUUCGUUUUAUACAUUUCACUUCUCUUCUGAAAUCACAGCAAUGCCAGUUUGCGCCUUUUGGUCUGAGGAACGCAGGCCCUGGCCACUACCAGGAAAAAAUCCUUUGCACAUGGCCUGCUAUCAACAAUCCUCUACAAUGAUUCUCAGCAUCACCUAGGGAGCUUAUGUAAAAUCUCAAAUUCCUGGGCCCUAUCCCCAGAGUUUCUUAUCAAUUUCCUUGAUGGAGAACUAUCAAAGCAGUCAAAGCUAUCAAAAUAAAAAAGAAUUCUGAUUGGGUGCAGUGGCUCACACCUGUCAUUCCAGCACUUUGAGAGGCCAAGGUGGGCAGAUCACAUGAGGCCAGGAGUUCAAGACCAGCCUGGCCAACAUGGCAGAAACCCCAUCUCUACUAAAAAUACCAAAAUUAGCCGGGCAUGGUGGAACACACCUGCAAUCCCAGCUACUCGGGAGGCUGAGGCAAGAGAAUCGCUUGAACCUGGGAGGCAGAAGUUGCAGUGAAACAAGUUGGUGCCAAUGCAUUCCAGCCUGGAUGAUGGAGCGAGACUCUGUCUCAAGAAAAAAAAAACAAAAACAAAAACAGAACUCUGCCUCAUAGCGUCUUUUAAGUUAUACACUGGACCUAUCCUUUCCUCACUGACAGACAUUUUAAAAAUUUUUUGGUAAGGCCUAGUUCAUAUAAAAUGUAAUCCAAGCCAAAAGUUAACAAGAAUAAGGGGAGGAAAGGGGACUCCAAUAGCAGAGAAAGGUAUUUACCUGGGAUAUACACUGCAAGAAAAUCAAAGCUAUAAGAAACGUCCAUGAAUAGUAGCCAUAAGGCAUCAGAGUGAUAAAAUUCCUGUCCCUAGGAGGGAAUAUUGGAGUUUGCCAGAGAAACAGAAUGAGAGAGACAGAGAGGUUUAUUGUAGGAAUUGGCUCAUAUGAUUACGGAGGCUGAGAAGACCCACGAUCUGCCAUCUGCAAGCUGGAGAAUCAGGAAAGCUGGAGGUGUAAUUCAGUCAAGUCCAAUGGCCAGAGAAGCAAGUGUACUGAUAUCCAAGAGCAGGAGAAAAUAGAUGUCCCAGAACAAGCAGAGAGGCUGAUUUUGUCCUUCCUCUGCCUUUUUGUUUCAUAUGGGGCACUGAAUGGACUGAUGCCCAUCCACAUUAGUGAGGGUGGAUCUUCUUUACUCAGUCUACCAGUAGAAAUGUCAAUGACUUCCAGAAACACCCUCACCAACACACGUGGAAAUAAUGUUUUACCAGGUAUCUGGGCAUCCCUUGGUUCACUCAAGUUGACACAAAAUUAACCAUCACAGAAGGAGACUGGCCUUACUCUGAAAUUAGGAAACUAAAGAAGUGACCAGAAUGGAGACUAGGUAGAGACAACUAGUUCUCUACCAAACAUGUACAGUUAUUCGUUGGUAUCUGAAGGGGAUUGGUUCCAGGAACUCUCAGGGAUACCAAAAUCUGCAGGUGCUCAAGUCAUUUAUAUAAAAUAUUACAGUAUUUGCAUAUAACCUUUGCACAUCUUCCAUAUACUUUAAAUCAUCUCUACAUUACUUAUAAUAAUGAAUGUGUAAAUGCUAUGAAAAUAGUUACUACACUAUUGUUUAUUUGUAUUUUUAUUGAAUUGUUUUGGGGUGGGGGGCAGCUGUAUCUUUCUUAGUAAUAGAACCCCUGGUUUUAGCUGGGCACAUGACUGCCCUCAAUAAAGAUUAAAGUACCCCAGCCUUCCUUGAGAUUGUGGCCAUGUGACUGAACUUUAGACAGUGAGAUAUAAGCAGAUAUCUUCUGUGGCAGUGUUAGGAAACUAUUAAAGACAGUAAGAACAUUGCCCUUUGCCUUCUUUUUCCUUUCUUCAUUUUUCUGCCUGGAAUGCAAAUGUGAUGGCUAACACCCUAGCAGCCAUUUUAGAUUAUGAAGAUGAGAGUCACUCCCCAGGAAGGGUGGACCUGAAAGCUGGAUUCUAGAUGUGGAAUGACAAUACCAGCCCUGGACUACCUACCUGUAGGCUGUGUGUGUGUGUGUGUGAUUGACAGAGAGAGAGAGAGAUAGAUACCACAAGUAACACAAAGCAUCAUACCUGGGACUGGGAAGGUUAAUGUUUAAACAUUUUAAAUGUGGCAUUGGUUUGUUGAAGACAGUCAAGCAGUAGGUGCUGCAGGCUUUGUUGAGGCUAGAAAGCUGUUGGUCUUUAUUAGGUGAUGGCAAAACAAUGGAUCACAUUUUCAUGUGCUGUGUCUUGGGAGGCAAAUGAUGAGAAUGUAGGAUUGGGGAAAAUGGUAAGGAAAAUCCAAAAUGUUCAUGUUUUCUAACCCCUUCUUGCCAAUCUUAAAAGAAGGACAAACAGGCUAGAUUAAGCAAGUCUACAGUUACAAUUGGAAGGAAACACAGCCGUACUAAGGAAGUACUCUGUCUGUGGCCUGCAGUCUAGUUUGACUAGGUCCUGUAUUUGAGCUUUGAAAGAGUAAAGAAUACAAGUGCUCGUAUACCCCUGAAGUAGUUACCAGCAGUGACUGCAAGGAGGUAAUCUUAUGGGAUGAAACUAUAACUCUGUAUUAACCAUCAUAUAUAGCAUAUAUGUGUAUAUGUAUGUGUGUGUGUGUAUAUGUGUAUAUAAAUAUAUGUGUGUGUAUAUACACACAUGUACACACCCUACAACCCAGUGAUUUCAAAAAAUUAAACAUUUGUUUAGCUCAUGAAUCUGUGGGUUGGGUGAACAUUUCUAUUGGUCUUGGCUGGGCUCACCUGUACCCAGUCAGCUGCAGGGUCUAGCUCUUCUUAUCUUGGCUGGGAUCUCACACAUGUCUAGGAUCAGCUGCUUUACUAGUCUAGGAUUGUCUUGGCUGAGACAGGUGGACUACUCAGUUCUCCUCCACUGCCUUAUCCUUCAGCUGGCCAGCCCAGAAAUGUUGCCAUGUUUACAGCAUAAGAGCAAGCAAGAAAGAAUAAUAUGCAACCACUUUUCCAAGCCUAAGGUGAAAGGGCGGGCAGAACCUGUGGUGUUAGGAGGCAACUCAUACCAGCCCAUGGGUCUACCGUUUAAUUUUCAGAAAUUUGGCAAGCUGAUUGUUAACACAGCUGUUGUUUAAUUUAUGUACUUGUAAUUAAAUAAUUUACAUUAAAACAAAGAUAAUAGGUACUCAA
rnacentral:lncRNA from 1 species